UACAGAGGGUGCGAGCGUUGUUCGGAAUUAUUGGGCGUAAAGGGCGCGUAGGCGGCGCGGUAAGUCACCUGUGAAAUCUCCUGGCUCAACUGGGAGCUUGCAGGCGAAACUGCCGUGCUGGAGUGUGGGAGAGGUGCGUGGAAUUCCCGGUGUAGCGGUGAAAUGCGUAGAUAUCGGGAAGAACACCCGUGGCGAAGGCGGCUCUCUGGGACGGUACUGACGCUGAGACGCGAAAGCGUGGGGAGCGAACAGG
rnacentral:rRNA from 1 species